rnacentral:rRNA from 1 species
UCCUGGCUCAGGACGAACGCUGGCGGCGUGCCUAACACAUGCAAGUCGAGCGAAGUGCUUACAACGGAAUCCUUCGGGAAGAAGAUGUAAGUAUCUUAGCGGCGGACGGGUGAGUAACGCGUGAGGAACCUACCUUCCACAAGGGGAUAGCCUCGGGAAACUGGGAUUAAUACCCUAUGAGACUUAGGUAUCGCAUGAUACUUAGGUUAAAGCGUAAAGCGGUGGAAGAUGGCCUCGCGUCCCAUUAGCUAGUUGGUGAGGUAACGGCUCACCAAGGCGACGAUGGGUAGCCGGCCUGAGAGGGUGGACGGCCACACUGGAACUGAGACACGGUCCAGACUCCUACGGGAGGCAGCAGUGGGGAAUAUUGCACAAUGGGCGAAAGCCUGAUGCAGCGACGCCGCGUGAGCGAAGAAGGCCUUCGGGUCGUAAAGCUCUGUCCUAUGGGACGAUAAUGACGGUACCAUAGGAGGAAGCCCCGGCUAACUACGUGCCAGCAGCCGCGGUAAUACGUAGGGGGCGAGCGUUGUCCGGAAUGACUGGGCGUAAAGGGUACGUAGGCGGCCGUGUAAGUCAGGUGUGAAAGGCUAGGGCUCAACCCUAGUGAGCACUUGAAACUGCAUGGCUUGAGUCGAGGAGAGGAAAGUGGAAUUCCUGGUGUAGCGGUGAAAUGCGUAGAUAUCAGGAGGAAUACCAGUGGCGAAGGCGACUUUCUGGCCUUAGACUGACGCUGAGGUACGAAAGCGUGGGGAGCAAACAGGAUUAGAUACCCUGGUAGUCCACGCCGUAAACGAUGAGUGCUAGGUGUCGGGACAUAAGUUUCGGUGCCGAAGUUAACACAUUAAGCACUCCGCCUGGGGAGUACGGUCGCAAGACUGAAACUCAAAGGAAUUGACGGGGACCCGCACAAGCAGCGGAGCAUGUGGUUUAAUUCGAUGCAACGCGAUGGGCCUUACCAGGGCUUGACAUCCCUCUGACAGUCCUAGAGAUAGGCCCUUCCCUUCGGGGACAGAGGUGACAGGUGGUGCAUGGUUGUCGUCAGCUCGGUUCGGUAAGAAUGUUGGGUUAAGUCCCGCAACGAGCGCACCCCUUGCCUUUAGUUGCUACCAGUUAGGCUGACCACUCUAGAGGGACUGCCGGCAAUAAGUCGGAGGAAGGUGGGGAUGACGUCAAAUCAUCAUGCCCUUUAUGUCCUGGGCUCCACACGUGCUCCAAUGGUCGGUACAAAGGGCAGCGACCUAGCGAUAGGAAGCGAAUCCCAUAAACAAAGCUCCCAGUUCGGAUUGCAGGCUGCAACUCCCCCUCUGGAAGUCGGAGUUGCUAGUAAUCGCGGAUCAGAAUGCCGCGGGAAUGCGUUCCCGGGUCUU